rnacentral:lncRNA from 1 species
GGCGUAUCUUCGAGAAGGUUCCACAAGCUCCCCGACAAGGACAACUCGCCAGACUACAGAGCAAGGCCUCCUCUAAUCUUCAUUCUCUAUCUCCCAAGGAGGGCAACUCCUCAGACUGCAAGGUAGAGUCUUCGACAAAUUAACAGUAGGAUCUAUACACACCCAAGGGCGUCCCCCUAGGUAAAAUAUGUCCCCUUCUGCCCUUCAAAUGACGAUCUUUCUCUGUAAGCUUCAACUUGGCGCGCCCUGAAAAUAAGGCGCGCCCUAUCUUCUUGAACUGGUCUCUUCUGACUGACAUGGCUAGUUUGGGCUUGGUCCAAUGUUGAGCCCAUCAUAGUCUUCUUUUAUGGGCCAGGUCUUCAUGGUGAUUUUUGCGUAUAACAACUACCCCCCAGAUCUUGGUGGCAUUGAAAAUGUCGACGAGAUCUUGAUGUCCUUCAGCCCCUGAGAUGUCCUAUCUUGGUUGUUCUUCGUUGAUGCAGAAGAUGUUGACGGUAUAUAACUAGGCGCGCCAUAUGUUGAAGGAGAUUCCUUUGAAGUCGAUGUUGAAGAAGUUGUUUGAAGAUGAUGAUAAUUCUGCUUGACGGAGGUGAAGGCAGUACUUGCUUGAUGGAUAUGAAAGUAGUGCUUGCCUGAUGGAGACGAUGAUGAGGUUGCUGAGGAUGAGGCCGUGGAAGCCGAGACUGAGUCGAUGAAGAUGAGGCUGCGGAAGCCGAGGCUGAAGGAGAGGCCGCGGAAGCCAAGAGUGAGUUGAUGAAGAUGAGGCCGCGGAAGCCGAGGCUGAAGGAGAGGCCGCGGAAGCCAAGAGUGAGUUGAUGAAGAUGAGGCCGCGGAAGCCGAGGCUGAAGGAGAGGCCGCGGAAGCCAAGAGUGAGUUGAUGAAGAUGAGGCCGCGGAAGCCGAGGCUGAAGGAGAGGCCGCGGAAGCCAAGAGUGAGUUGAUGAAGAUGAGGCCGCGGAAGCCGAGGCUGAAGGAGAGGCCGCGGAAGCCAAGACUGAGUUGAUGAAGAUGAGGCCGCGGAAGCCGAGGCUGAAGGAGAGAUGAGGCCGCGGAAGCCGAGGCUGAAUAUGAGGCCGCGGAAGCCAAUGCUCGAGGAGAGAUGAGGCCGCGGAAGCCGAGGCUGAAGAUGAGGCCGCGGAAGCCAAUGCUAGAGGAGAGAUGAGGCCGCGGAAGCCGAUGCUGAAGAUGAUCCGCGGAAGCCAAUGCUGGAGAUGAGGCCGCGGAAGCCGAGGAUGAAGCAGAAGAACGUGCCUUCUACCACGUCUUAGAUGAGGAUGAGGCGCGCCCUUCCUAUCCAAAUCCUUCGUCUAAUCUGUAUGAUCACCCCCCAGUUUCGGAGUAUGAGCUUGACUUGUAGAUGCAGGUUGGAGAAGACAGUGUUGCGAAGUUGUGUUGUGACGUAUAUUUACUCUGAAUCUUGAAGACUGGAGUGUUGGACGCGUCUCUGUAUACUAUAUAUAUACACAAUUAUAUUUAGCAAAAAAAAAAUAAUAAGGUUAGUAUUUACCUCAUGGCGCGCCCUGUUAGGGGAAGGCGCGCCUCUCGAUAAUUCCAAGAGAACGUUGUUCGGGGGAGACACAUUUUGUAAAUAUCCUCCAUUUACAUUACUUUCAUCCUGAGCUCGCCUUACGAAAUUCUUUGAAUUUUUUCUCAUCCUGUCUAAAAAUAGCUUACUAAAUAAAAUAUUAGGUUAGAGGUACACAACAUUUAUUAUAUAAACACCACACAUAAAUAUAUCAAUAUAUUUGUGGUAUCAUAAUAAUAAUCCAAUCUCGAUAAAAGAUAUAUAUAAUUCGAUUAUGCAUAAAAUAUUUAAAUUAAAACAUAUAUAUCCAAGAAUAAAUAUAUGCAUGACAAGAGUAUAUAUACCAAAUGAAAAUUACAAAAUUGAAAAAUACUUAUCUUUUUCUUGAACAUGUGAAUCUCCAUGUACCUGCACUUAUAUAAAUUCAACUCUAAAAUAAUACCCUGUAUAUAGAGAUAUUGCAGCAACAUACUUUCUUAUUAGGGCACCCUGCAAACACAUAUAUCAUGUGCUGCACAUAUCUAAAACAUCCACUAAUCUCAAACAAAAUAAUUUACUAUGACAUGAGAUAAGAGUUUAAUACAACAUAAUUAUUUUAAUAUAAAAAGCUACCAAUGACAAUAUUAUGCAUAUUAAAGUAACAAGCAAAAAAUGUAUGCAAUAUUUAAUUUACAUAAAAUUCACAAGAAUAUACGAAGAAGUACUUAAAAGGAAUUACGUAUCUCAAGAAAACAUGUUGUAGUUUCUUCCGGUGUGUGUUUGCUUGCACCACCGCCCCAUCCUUUUGCAAAUUUAUAUCUCUCAUUGUCAAGUAUGUAGACAAUAGCAUAUGUACCUGCAAAAUCUUUUACUAUAUUCUUUUCUCAGAGAUUACGAUAAGUAUAAAUAAUUUCUUAAACAAUAUUAUAUUUAACAAUUUAAUCAAAUAAUAUUACAUUAAACAUUGCGGAGGAUAAAUUGAAAAUAGAAUACUUAUCUUAUUUUAUUUGUGUCAGAUUUGGAGACGGAUACUCCGGAAGGAUUCCGUGCUUUUCACCUGUACUAACUGUAUGUACCACAAUUCACAAGUUCUCCGCGCACAUCUUUUAGUACUAAAUUAAUUUAAUCAUGCAUGUCACAAAAGGUCCGAAGUCAUAAAAUAAAAUCUAAUUUUGAGUUUAUGCAACAAUUUUUAAAUUAAUGUAAUAAUAUGUCAAGCAGAAUCCACACAUGAGUUUUAAUCGAUAUACUAUGUAGUGCAUGAUAAAAUAUUAUUAAUGCAGGGCACAGUUAUUUAUGUGAUAUAAAAACUAGUAUAAGAAAACUUAUCUGAUUCCGAACUCCUUGCAAUUUAUUGAUAUUCCUUCUUCGCUCACAUGAGGAACACCUUGUGACUCUCAAAAUAUUAGUUUCUUCCUAAAUUUUAAAACUUACUCUCUGCAUUGUUUUCCCUGUAUGGCUCAAAAUAAAUAUCAAGUAAAGAGUUUCGAGAUCAAACUAUAUUCACCACGAUAAUAUUUUACACAAAAUUCAUACCAUAACAAACGAGACAUACUAUAGUAAUGGGCAUGUAAUUAUAUAUUAAAAAAGUAAGAAUUGACUUAUCAAAGAUUUUAACAUGGGGACAGCUAGCAGCCCACUCCUCAUUCAGAAUAUCUUCUAAUUUGAAAUUCCUGACGAAAGCUGCAUCUCUUUUAUCCUGCACAAUAUCUUAGCUACUGGCACAUGUUAACUGAAAACGUCUUCAGCUUUGUUUUAUAAACAUAAACAAAAAAGAAAACUCUCCCAGCUUUCCUGCUUAGAACUUCGCUCCUUGUGUGCCAGUAUCAAUCUUCAUCGCCAGGAUGCAAUCACGUGGAAUGGUUUAACUCAUAAAAUGCGUCAACGUGAUAUAUGGGAUAGUAUUCGCACAUCUGGUAUGCAGCCAGACUGGUACAACAUGGUUUGGUGUAGAUUUUCGGUUCCGAGAUUUGCUUUCACAACCUGGCUAAUCAUUCAAGAAAAAUUACUCACAAAAGACAGAAUGAGGGACUUCCGUAUGCAAGUUGACAGUAUAUGUGUCAUGUGUGGUACUCACAAUGAAACACAUCCUCAUCUUUUUACUCUCUGCAAUUAUGUGAAAGGUAUUUUUAAUGCAUGGCCUUUUGCCAUAUCUUCUGUUUGGGCAGACUUUCAGUUGGGAAGACCUUGCAGUGCCCAGAAUAUCAAAAACAUUGAAAAAGAGAUGUCUUUUCUCUUUAUUUCGGCAGUUUUCUACAAUAUUUGGAGGGAAAGAAAUCGACGUAUUCACCAAGGUUCCCCUCGGCUAACUAAUAUGCAACUACUGGGAAGCAUUAAACGGGAAGUUCGUGAGAAGCUUGCAUCUUGCACUUAUUUUAAAGACUGUAUUUCUAAAGAUCGCACCUUAGUUACUCUUUUGUAUUAAUAUUAAUAUUAAUAUUAUUCUUGUUGAUAAUAUUAAUAUUGAUAUUAUAUUUAGUGGCCAUCCUGGAUAGUCUGUUUCAUUUCUGUUCUACCUUGUGUUAGCUUUGGUUUAAGUUCUUCCGCGGGGUAUGCCCCUAGAAUUGUAUUCUUCUUCUUUCUUUAUUAAACCUUUAUUUAGCAAAAAAAAAAAGAAUCCUUUACAUAUAUAGUAUAAUAUUAGUCUAACCAGACUUAGUAUUGUAUAAAUAUUAAACUUAAUUUAAUCAAUAAUCAUGAAUAAAAACUAAGCAUUAGACAUGUGUAAUAAUUAUGAUAAGUUCUAGACGUGUGCACUUCAUAACAAUGAGAUAAAAUAAAUAAAUAAAGCACAAUUAAUGAGCAGUAUUAUAUGUAAUUGCGAUAAUUAAAAUUAAGAAAAAGAUAAAGAAAAAGAAAGCUUAUCUCGAUAUCCGCGUAGUUUGUUAUUCCUGCUGCUUGGGACUUAUUUACAAGAACAAGAAUUCCCUCAUACUCUCUCCUAAUUUCAAUCUCAUGCUUCAUGCCUUCUGAUGCUUUAAUACCAAAAACAAUAGUCUCCACGACCUUUCUUUACGAGAGUGCUUAUCUGGAGCCGAGCCACCACCCACAUAAAUAACAGAACAAUCCUGCUAUUGAUCUCCACACUUUCCUCAUGCGAGUUUUAGGGUUGACUCCCGUCGCCAACGUGAUCAAGCCUUUUAUUAUGUAAGGUUAAGUCUUUAUCGUGACAGCCAUCAUAAAUUGAUCCCGGGAUCAGUCCUGCGCAAUCAUAAGUUACCACUCCAUGUAUGUGUUAUUAGAACACUUUUCUUUUACAAAUUUUUCACUAAAGAUUAAUUAAUAAGAAAAUACAAAUAUCAUGCCAGAAACUUUGUUAAUUCUAUAAAAAGAUAAAACCACUAUAUAUGAAAUUGUGAAAAAUUAAAAUAAUAGAGAAGAAAACUUAUCUUUAGUAGAUCAGAGAUAGUCCGGAAUCCAGGUUGCGUGCCACAUCCAGAAAACAUGCAACCACGACCAUGUCUAAUUUGAUGUUUAAUAGCGUGGUUUGAGUACGUCUGUGACGAUCGUUUGUCCUCCACAAACGAAAGAUCUAGAAUAGCCCCUCCUUCUAGCGCCAAUUUGUUAACGGAGGAAUUUGGUAGUUAACAAAAUUUGAGGUUCAUGGCCGGAAUCAAGAUCUAUGACGGUGGCUGAGCGGUGGUGAUGAAAUUUUAGGGGUGGCUGAGAUUAGGGUUUCGAGUUGCCUCCAGAUGCUCCCAACUCGUGUCCCCCUAAUUUGCCUACGUACCCCUAUAUUUAUAGGGGAUCAAGCCAGUACGUAGUUCUUUUCUCCUUAGGAAACCUAAACCUAAUAGGAUUAGGCUUCCCCUUCUGCUAUCUUCCUCCUGAAAGGGGCCCAAUACGAUGAGGCCUAGUCUUGGGCCUUGUAGACUCUCGAGCACCCAAAACUUACCCCAAAUGCAAGGGCACUUCUCUACUCCCCGACAGGGACAACCCGCCAGACUACAGAGAUAGAGCCUUCCAGGGCGUAUCUUCGAGAAGGUUCCACAAGCUCCCCGACAAGGACAACUCGCCAGACUACAGAGCAAGGCCUCCUCUAAUCUUCAUUCUCUAUCUCCCAAGGAGGGCAACUCCUCAGACUGCAAGGUAGAGUCUUCGACAAAUUAACAGUCGGAUCUAUACACACCCAAGGGCGUCCCCCUAGGUAAAAUAUGUCCCCUUCUGCCCUUCAAAUGACGAUCUUUCUCUGUAAGCUUCAACUUGGCGCGCCCUGAAAAUAAGGCGCGCCCUAUCUUCUUGAACUGGUCUCUUCUGACUGACAUGGCUAGUUUGGGCUUGGUCCAAUGUUGAGCCCAUCAUAGUCUUCUUUUAUGGGCCAGGUCUUCAUGGUGAUUUUUGCGUAUAACA